CGCCUGGGGAGUACGGCCGCAAGGUUAAAACUCAAAUGAAUUGACGGGGGCCCGCACAAGCGGUGGAGCAUGUGGUUUAAUUCGAUGCAACGCGAAGAACCUUACCUACUCUUGACAUCCAGAGAAUUUAGCAGAGAUGCUUUAGUGCCUUCGGGAACUCUGAGACAGGUGCUGCAUGGCUGUCGUCAGCUCGUGUUGUGAAAUGUUGGGUUAGUCCCGCAACGAGCGCAACCCUUAUCCUUUGUUGCCAGCGAUUCGGUCGGGAACUCAAAGGAGACUGCCGGUGAUAAACCGGAGGAAGGUGGGGAUGACGUCAAGU
rnacentral:rRNA from 1 species